GUACCUGCGGAGGGAUCAUUACCGAGUUUACAACUCCCAAACCCCUGUGAACAUACCUAUACGUUGCCUCGGCGGAUCAGCCCGCGCCCCGUAAAACGGGACGGCCCGCCCGAGGACCCCUAAACUCUGUUUUUAGUGGAACUUCUGAGUAAAACAAACAAAUAAAUCAAAACUUUCAACAACGGAUCUCUUGGUUCUGGCAUCGAUGAAGAACGCAGCAAAAUGCGAUAAGUAAUGUGAAUUGCAGAAUUCAGUGAAUCAUCGAAUCUUUGAACGCACAUUGCGCCCGCCAGUAUUCUGGCGGGCAUGCCUGUUCGAGCGUCAUUUCAACCCUCAAGCUCAGCUUGGUGUUGGGACUCGCGGUAACCCGCGUUCCCCAAAUCGAUUGGCGGUCACGUCGAGCUUCCAUAGCGUAGUAAUCAUACACCUCGUUACUGGUAAUCGUCGCGGCCACGCCGUAAAACCCCAACUUCUGAAUGUUGACCUCGGAUCAGGUAGGAAUACCCGCUGAACUUAAGCAUAUCAAA
rnacentral:rRNA from 1 species